CUUAUAUCUUUGCUCACAAAACGUUCAUUAUAAAAAUUCAAGCUCUGUAAAGCUGGCAGGAAACAUCAGUUCUCACAAGCUGUAGAACAAGGAAGCCUCUGUAAAACUCGAGCUGGAUAGCCUACCAGACCUCAGGUAUCAAGCAAAGACCCAAGAAGUGAACCUUGCGCCACACACUGAAAAUUAGCAGUUGCUAUCCGACCCUAAUUUGAUAGCUGACUUCCAUGACUGAUGGUACCUGUCACUUGAGACCAGCUGCAGGAACAGAAGUGUACUUUUGCCAGAAAACAAUAUCUUAAAAUACACAUAGGGAAGAUAAAAUAUAAAGAAAAAAGCAGCAGCAAGGAAUCUAAAUUGGCAUUUUUCCCAACCCUUCAGCUGUUAAAAAAAAAAAAAAAAAAGGCUUCAUCACAUAAGACCAUCCUUAGGUGGAGCUGGCUAGAGCUGCGGCUCCAGGGCAGAGCAGUGGCUGGUACGAAAUAACCUACAGAACGGAGCAGGAGCCCUCCUAAUGGUGUGCCUAGGAAGGGUACAAACCCACUGGUGUGCUCCUCACACCCUCAGUACUGCUACUGAAGGACUUGGUGCAAAUUAGCUUGUGACGAGGGCCUGAUUUUUCACUUCUGCUUGUGUUAAUGUUUGUACGGCAGCAAGAAAGCCCCUACCUCGUCUCUGCACCGGCCCUGGAGGACUCUCCCGAGCGUGCCAUCUCUCUAACAGCCAUUAAGUGUCUACCAAAGACAUAAAGCUGUGAUAUAAAGGGAAAAUCCUUCUACCCUAAAUGCAGCCCCAGCCCAGCCCCAGCAGCCAGCACAGAGCGCGACAGACUUCUGGUGUGACACCAGGCCAACGAGGAGAAAGAGGAGUGACUGCAGCACGUUUCGGAUUCAGGCAAGGAAGCAAACAGCACGCUCACAUCUGCCUCCACAUCUGCAGCUAACGCAUGCCUUCUCUUUCCUAAGGAAACAAAAACUCACGUUCCUAAGCCUACAAUGAAAAGCAGCAAACGGCACAAGCUGAGAUUUUAGCCCCAGUUCUGCACGCAGCGAGAAGGGGGGGGGGGGGGGGCAUUCUCCCUGAAGGCGAGGACCUCUGUCUAGCCAGUGCCAGCAGGGACAAAAGCAGCGUCCCCAGCCCGUCCCCAAUCCCUGGACCCAGGCACUGUCCCUGCACUUGCUAAUUCUGCAGCACGCUGACCUCCCCUGGGCACCACCAGCUCCUCCUGACAGGGUGCUGCAGGCUCCUGACCAUCACGGCUGUGCCUGGGGGCAGUAAUUUAUCCCCGGCUGCCUGUCAUGCUACUUCUGUCCUGUGCUAUUUUUCCCCCUCGAAAGCAAUGGUGAAACCAGCAGGUAUCGAGCACGUUGUCAUCUCAGACCAUACAACAGAUUUUAUUUGGCCCAGUGACAUAUCUAACCUCAUCAGCUACGUUUAGGAAACUCAUCUGAGCCUCAGA
rnacentral:lncRNA from 1 species